ensembl:lncRNA
GGAUUCAUGUUUUUAAUUAGAAAUUUAUUACAUAAUAUAACAAACAUAUAUCUCUGUGGUGGAGCUAUCACAGCUGUGGACCUGCCUCAGCCUCACUACCCUGCCGCCCUUCCCUAUCUGUUUCCUUAUGGAUGAUAAGAGAACCAUGCCUCUGGGUGAAAAGGGUUCAACUGAUCUUGUAAAUCGUGGGACUGACCAUAAAGUGUGUUUUUGUUUCCAUUAUUGUUAUUUUCCAGAAAUCUACUCAAUGGCCAGUGGCCACUGUAUUCUGUCUUAUUUUCCAGUCUGUCUGCCGCUUCUGCCCUGACCUCUUUCAGUACGGUGUGUUUGGGAGUAGACAUGGUUGCUCCCCAUCUUCACCUUCAGAUGCUAGUUAGAGGCAGGUAGCCUAUAUCUCCCUCUCUGCAGACUAAUGAGGGUAUUUUAUUUCAACAGCAAAAAAACAUUUACACUUGAGUAUUCUCUUCCUGUAUCUGAGAUGACACAGAACUGUAUCUUAAAAUCCUGGCCUCACCAAUAGUCACAGUAACACUGUCUAGCAGAAAUCUGUACAUCUAUAGCACCAAAGUCAACGCUACUAUUUUAUUCUAGUUAGCUAGCAAUCUGACCUUUCACAUUUUCACCUACCACAUUUGAGACAUAUGCUGUCAGGAUUAAUCCAACAAUGCUAAACUACUGAAUAAUAUGAAUCUACUGAGGUUGUCAUUAAUCCAGUGUUCAUCAUUAGUUUCAGCCAGGCUACAGUUCUGUGUGGAGUUCAGUGUCUUUGAGGAAGAUAGAGAGCCGGGAUGCCUGGGGGGUCAAGAGGAGGGGAGGUUUAGAUGGGCCAGGCAAGGCCCAGACAUAGCCUGUGAUAGAUCCACCAUGUUAAACUUCACAGUGCAAACAAGGAGAAAAUCAACAAUGAAAGAAAAACCCUUUGAAUGAUGAUAAGAUCACUAGAUCCAGUGGUGGGUCUACCAGAUACCCUCUCACCGUGUAGAUUUGUGCUUUGUUGAUUAGAAAAGAAGAUGAAGUCGACCGUACAGAGAAACUCAUUGGUGUGAAUGAAGUGUCUGCCUCACCUUUCUGUGUCCCGCAGCAUGGGUUUGCAUCUGUAUAGGCUACCUGUGGUAAACCUACUAAGGGGUCCAACUAGGUUCUCUGUUACUGACGUGUUUUCUAACCAGGAAAGCAACUGGAGUCCAAACUGCACUGUGUGUGUGUGAGCGCAUGUGCAUGCCUGCAUGUGCGUGUGUACAGCAUGUGUGUAUAUAUGAGCUGUGUGUUUAAACCCAUGUCAGCAUCUCUCAGCAUCAGUUAGACAAGCUAUACAACCUUCAUCACAUUUAAACCAAGCAAUACUUUGAUACCUUGUCUCAAAAUAUAUAUAGAAAUGGUAAUAAUGCAAAUAAUAAUUUGUUAAUUCAUAAAAUCUGGUCAUUUUUCAGGAUAUAUAUAUAUAUAUAUAUAUAUAUAUAUAUAUAUAUAUAUAUAUAUAUAUAUAUAUAUAUAUAUAUAUAUAUAUAUUCCUUUACAAAACAUAAAAAAACGCCUGGAGUUCCACUCCAAAAAGGUUGUGCACACACAGUGGAGAAGCUAAAUGAAUGUCUGUAGUUCUCAAGAUUCCCAGGAGAUGGCACCAUAUUACUGAGUAACAGCUCAACAACUUCCAAACUAAAGUAGUCCUAUUAAGAAAAAUACACCAUUGAAAGUUUUUUGUUAUUUUUUGGCACGUUUUUCCCUCUUUGUUUCUUUUUUUUUGUCAGUCCUCUUCAAAAUCACCUCAUCAUAGCAUACCCUAAAAAACUCAAAGUCUGAAAAGGGAAAAGGGAGCAAAGAGUGUGUAACAGGAUGAAACGCAGAGCAGAGAGUGUGUCUCAGGAUGAAACAUGGAGCAGAGAGUGUGUAACAGGAUGAAACGCGGAGCAGAGAGUGUGUAACAGGUUGAAACACAGAGCAGAGAGUGUGUAACAGGAUGAAACACGGAGCAGAGUGUGUAACAGGUUGAAACACGGAGCAGAGAGUGUGUAACAGGAUGAAACGUGGAGCAGAGAGUGUGUAACAGGUUGAAACACGGAGCAGAGAGUGCCAGUGCACCUCGUCAUGAGGAGAGUCAUAGGGAGGUGUUGUAGGGCAGAUGGUAACACUGUAAUUGUCUGUGUCUAUGUCUCCAAUUGAACCACAGCCCAAACCACACACAAUGCCCAAGGCAGACAGGGUCUCUGACACACAGACAGGGGCUAUACAGGAACAGACAGAAUGUAAAGAAGAUUAAACUGUAUCGCUUUCAGCACCCCAGUAUUGUUUUGAUCUCUCUCUUUCUCUCUCUCUCUCUCUCUCUCUCUCUCUCUCUCUCUCUCUCUCUCUCUCUCUCUCUCUCUCUCUCUCUCUCUCUCUCUCUCUCUCUCUCUCAUCAAUGAAUAGAUAUCAAAGGGUCCUAUAAUGAUUACAGAUUUGGAGUUCAGUCUGUGUCUCUGUUUGUGCAAAUGUGUGUGUGCACCACGUGUGAGUGUGUUUGUGUGUGUGAGACACAGCCACUGCCAGGAAUCUCUGAUGGUAUUAAGGCUAAAGUGGACUCACUUCGAGGGUUUGAACUAGCGCACACACACAUACAUACACGCACCACACAGAGGAGAGGGGGGAGUGUACAGAGAGUCAGGGUGUUCCUCCCUUCACAGCCUGCAUGCGCUGUAACGAAUGGUGGCUGUAUUGCUAGCACCGUGUUUUGUGCAAAUCAUCUCCUAGUUCAGAGUUCAUAGAAAGAAUACAAUCUGAUCACACAUUUUUUCCUCAGUGAUUAACUAUGCAUAUAUGCCAAACAUUCAUAAAUAGAUCUAUAUAUUUUUUGAUUUUCAAAAAUGUAUAUGAAAACUAUCAUAUAUACAUUGCUUUUGAUUAAUAUAAAAAAGCAAAUAUUUGUAUUUUGUUCAUAUUUACAGGGUGUAUGUCAUUUUGAGAGGUUUAAAUAUUUUAGUUUCUCUUUUUCUUGGUCACUCUGAAAUUCAGAUUAGGUGAGUGAAUAGAAAAAGUUCUUAAUGUCUUAAUCCAAUAGCUACAAAAUCCACCCCUACAUUAUGGGGGGGCAUAACAAAUAAACACAAACCAACAAUCAACUCUUACAAUAUGGAGGGGGGGGGGGCAUAACAAAUAAACACAAACCAACAAUCAACUCUUACAAUAUGGAGGGGGGCAUAACAAAUAAACACAAACCAACAAUCAAC